rnacentral:lncRNA from 1 species
UCCUCCCUCCGCCCUUCCUCCCCAGUGUUUGUUUCAAGCUUGUGCAACCGGGAGGUGGAGGCGGAGGGAGGGCGCGAGCGGCCCGGCCGGGAGGUGCGGAAGUUCGCCGCAGCAGCUCAUUGGCGGGCAGCGCCGCUUUCAUCAUUUCUCGGAAAAGUCAAUUUCAUUUUCGCUUCCCCAGGUCGCGGCGGCGGGAGCAACAAGCAGCGGCUCGUGAGUCCGCGGCUCGCACCCAGGGGCGCCCGCACGUGCGGCUAGAACGUCCGAGUCGGGGUCCGGGGCGGGGGGCGCAGGCCCGCGGCGGUAGGGGAGGAGAGCGGGCACCCGAGUCUCCAUCCUCAGGGUGGCCUGAAGGUUCCAGGAGGGCGUCCGGCGAAGGCACGGGGCUGCGACCAUCCAGUUAGCAGGGCUGGUGUGACUGUUGAGAGUAAAUGAAAAUUCGUUUUGUGACACCGACCACCUCCAAGGAAUGAAAGGAGCAGUCAGCCGAAACGACAGCAUUACUUGCGUCCUUACCUAAUUGGAACCUUAUCCGUGGCUGAGGGUGCCACCAUUGGAGGGGCCGCCGCCCCCUCUGACACCACCUGGCGCUCCGCUCCAUUUAGGAGCUAGAACGAAAAGGAGGCCCAUCCCCCAGUAAGUCACAGCCCACGCCAAGAUGAGUUCUGGAGCCUGUGCGACCGAAGUUUCUUCACCGCAGGGCGAGGUGGACAAGGGUGUGAGUUACUUUGACUUCAAGACGUCUCAGUGGCGGCUGGUUCUGGAGAGAGGCUUUAUGCUGGAGCACUUCCAGCAAAGUUCGGCUGGGGCCUCCUUAACUCACUGGCUGGUCACCCUUGGCCUCGGUUUUCAACCAAAGCCUAAGGCCUCAGUUUUCAACGCUGUAAAUGGAAAUAAAUGAGAGAAGAAAGUACAGCCCGUGUGACAAGUGCAGCAAGCAAUGCAACUUCCUUGGGACCUACCCUUUGUGGUCCCUUGCUUUAAAAGUAUAGAUUCACAUUUAGUUAGACCUGUUUCUUCCUCGCAUGCAAUUUCACCAGUCUUUUCCCAGACUUCUGUACUCAACAGAGGAAGUUCCUUCCUGGGAGACCAUAGCUGUUUGUAUGUAAAGAGUUGCGAAAAAACAAAAGCAAAACAAAAAACUCCAACACCUCUCUGUCACAGAAGUAUUGAAUUAUAUAGACUGGAAAAAUGGAAGUAUCCAAGAAAACGCGUGUGAGACAGAGUUUCACCAUGUUGCCCAGGCUGGUCUCAAACUCCUGAGCUCAAACCAUCACCCACCUCGGCUUCCCAAAGUGCUGGGAUUACAGGCGUGAGCCACCACAUCUGACCGCGGGAGUCCUUUUACCCAAAGCCACCCAACAGACCCACGCAGAGACUUUUAACCAGCAAUCGUCUCAGUUCCCUCUGAGGCUGCCGGCUCUCCCUGUGACAGCAGCCCAUCUUAGCCCUUCCUGUGUAUCUCUGCUGCCUAAAGGAUGAGAGUUUCCUAAAGUGUAGAACUGUGAGGGGUGGAGGGACAUUCCUCUCAUGCUGGCCUGAAUCCUGCACCUACUCUGGAGGUCUUUUGCCUUGUACCAUGGAGUUCGCCUACAUCACCUUGGAGAACCGACCCAGCACCUUCCAGGCCGGCUGGAUGCAUCCCCAGGAAGGAAGCCGCUGGUGGGGCCGGUCGCACUGAGUGCGCUUGGAGAACAAAGUGCUGUGUACAUUUCUGCUCAACACUACUCUAAGCCCACAGCGCCAGUUCAGAGGCUUUGGGAAGAGCAGGUGCCUUCAUCCAGUUUCCACUGUACCUCUUCUGAGGUACAGGAGAUAGAGGUCCCUCAUUUCAAGGUGACACUGGCAUCAGUCAAGCACAGAGCUAACCAACUGCCAAUCGUAAACAAGGAAGCCAGUGAGGACGCCCAAGGAAAGGCUCAGAAAGCUUCCGCCAGGGAGUGGGAUUUGAGCUCUACCUUACAGAACAGGUUGAAAAUAAAGAGCAGAGUAAUCAAAAGUAGAUUUAUGUGUGUAUAUGUAUCUGUUGCUAAUAUCCAGCCUUAAAAAUCCUUGACAGUGGCCUUCAGACUUAAACAUCUUC